AAGAAAGUUGAAUGCAGUUGACCACCAGAUGGGAUGUUGUAGCUAUGAAGUAAUGAUGUCGAAAUAUGUUCCUGUUGAGCACGAGUCGUCUGGAGGGGAAGACAGGCUUGAUUUUGGCCAUUGGGAUGAACAGAAGACCUGUCAAAAUCUGAUUGCCACCUACUUAAAUUAGAAGAAUUGUCCAUGUUAAUAAACCAUACACCAGUCUGGCUGAUCAUUUUGCAUCACUGGAGAAAAGGGUGCUGAUUGGUUGGAAAGUCAUCGUUGAUUGGUCGAAGCGUUGCCAUGGAAAAAGAACAAAGAACUUCAGGCUCCCCAAGCUCCUGGGUAAUUCAAAAAAGACGCUUUACUCUUCAAGGAAGGAUUCAAUCACAAUGUGUCCUUACCAUCUGAAAGCUAGACCUUCAUUUUGAUGUAACACAAUUGGAACUCCUUUUGCAAAAUGACAGACCCAGUAAUACAGUGAUCCUACAUGAUAAAAGGGAAAAUAUAAAUUAGAAAAGAAGCAUGGAGACUGAAUUUCAACCCAACCAGCAUCAGCAGCAUCCCCAGAUCAAUAAAAUAGACUUCCACUCCAUGAGAGGACUGGGAUUUGGAGAUCAACCUUAUCCAUUUCACUGCUAUGGGCAUUGGUGCUGAUCACCGCUGUCACCGCCUUCCAUGCUGGAUUGGUGACCUUGCUUGUUGGCCUUCUCCCAGAGCGGGGAUAGAGGAUAUCGUUGCAGGUUUCCAUUGCAUCCAGCUGGCACUCGAGGGAGGUGUCGCUAAGUCUAGGGGAAGCAAUUUUUCUCUCUUUAGCAGCCAUCAGUUCCUGGCAGCUUCCUAUCCUUUGAAGAGUGCUAGCUCUGUGCAGACGUGGCCUUUAAAUAUGGUGCCCAGUUUACUGAAGGCCUGAGGUGACGGCGGGGUUAGGGUUAAUCAGAGGCUGCCCUACCAGCUACCCAGUGUGUUUUCUGUGAACAUAAUUAUUGAGGUGGGAAUGGGAUGAUAAUAGCAUGAAAAGCCGCCAUUGCGGCUGGCAGGUAAAACAUCCUUUUUCCUGCCUGCUACUGCACUUAGUGCAAAUCUGGGGUGAUUCCACCCAAAGCAACCCACUUGAUUGACACUUCAUCCAUCACCUUAAACAGUCACUCCCUCCAUCACCAACACACCAUGGCAGCUUUCGUAUCUACAAGAUACCAAGCAACUCACCAGGGCUCAUUCGACAGCACCUUCUAAACCCACAGCCUAGAAGGACAAG